GACGAACCACCCAAACGUUAUUCGGAAUUACUGGGCUUAAAGGGUGCGUAGGCUGUGCGGAAAGUUGGGUGUGAAAUACCUCAGCUUAACUGAGGAACUGCGCUCAAAACUACCGUGCUCGAGGGAGACAGAGGUGAGCGGAACUUAGGGUGGAGCGGUGAAAUGCGUUGAUAUCCUAAGGAACACCGGUGGCGAAAGCGGCUCACUGGAUCUCUUCUGACGCUGAUGCACGAAAGCUAGGGUAGCAAACGGG
rnacentral:rRNA from 1 species